rnacentral:rRNA from 1 species
CGGCCCCUAAGGCGAGGCAGAGAUGCGUAGCUGAUGGGAAGCAGGUUAAUAUUCCUGCACCGUCGUAUGAUGCGAUGGGGGGACGGAUCGCGGAAGGUUGUCUGACUGUUGGAAUAGUCAGUUUCUGGUUCAUAGGAGGUACUUAGGCAAAUCCGGGUACAGAAUCCAAGGGGCUGGGACGAGCGGCUUUAUGCUGCGAAGCAAUCGGAAGUGGUUCCAAGAAAAGCCUCUAAGCUUCAGUCAUACGAGACCGUACCGCAAACCGACACAGGUGGGCGAGAUGAGUAUUCUAAGGCGCUUG